UCCGGGAUGGUGAAACGGUAUCACAGAGGACUCUGAAUCCUCUUUUCUAGGUUCGAAUCCUAGUCCCGGAGCCA
rnacentral:tRNA from 4 species